rnacentral:lncRNA from 1 species
AAUCAAAAGGUAGCCAGGUGCAUCGGGGAAAGCACUGACAUUGGAGUCAGACAGACUGAAGUUCAUAUCUGAUUCUGCUAUAUGACAACGUGUGGGCUAUGUGGCUAACUUCUCAGAGCUUCAGUUUUCUCAAGGGCAAAAUGAAAAUAAUAGAAAUAAUAGAAUCCACCUCACAGGGCUGUGGUGAGAAUUGGAGAUGAAGCACAUACAGCAUAUUACAUCAACUAAACACAUGCUAAGCACAUGACAGAAUUGCUCUGUUGAAGUUUUGCAAGGUCAAAUGACUCACUUUGUCUAAUGGAACGGGAACGAACAAUUUUUUUGUGUCACGUUUGAACAGAUACCUUUGAGAAGUUUAUGAUUCUCCAAGUUCUCUUUCUCCUACUGUGGCACCUACUGACAAGAUAAAUGUGUAGAGGUUCCUGAGUCUAGGGGUGAGUCUUGCAUAUCUGAUGAAUCCACCAGUAAAAGUACCACUGCUGAAAUCACGCAAAUAUAUUUUUUUAGACCUUAUCAACCUUGGCAUGGAAUUAGAUGAGCAAAAAGCUGAGUUGAAUUGAUGAAAAGAAUCCCAAGUCAUUAAUUACUAAUGAUGGAGCUUGUAAAGUACAGCAUCACUGGGGAAAGCAACUGACUUUCCUCAUACACAUUAUAUUUUUAU